rnacentral:rRNA from 1 species
UACGGGGGGGGUAAGCGUUGUUCGGAAUUACUGGGCGUAAAGGGCGCGUAGGCGCCAUGCGUGUCUUCCGUGAAAUCCCUCGGCUUAACUGAGGACGUGCGGAAGAAACUGCAAGGCUCGAGUCCGGGAGAGGGGGGUGGAAUUCCCAGUGUAGCGGUGAAAUGCGUAGAUAUUGGGAGGAACACCGGUGGCGAAGGCGGCCCCCUGGACCGGUACUGACGCUGAGGCGCGAAAGCGUGGGUAGCAAACGGG